GCGCAUUAUUACGUGAACUAGAAGAAUUGGCACUACUUGCCGUCCCCAAGUUUUCACGAUGUACCUUUGACCAUCAACUUAUGUAUGCACGAGUCACUGGAUUACUUUUGAACUCGUCAUUGGCCGACGGGGUGAUAGGAGCAUUUGUGCAUGAAUGGGUACAAGACUCCCAAUGCAUAUACACAGCUUACAAGGAUUCCGGCUGUGUGUUUUCCUUCAGCUUGCCUGGCACAUGUUGGACAAAACCAAAUUGCAUG
rnacentral:lncRNA from 1 species